rnacentral:rRNA from 1 species
GAGUUUGAUCUUGGCUCAGAACGAACGCUGGCGGCAUGCCUAACACAUGCAAGUCGAACGCCCCGCAAGGGGAGUGGCGGACGGGUGAGUAACGCGUGGGGACCUGCCUCGAAGUUCGGGAUAACCGCGGGAAACUGCGGCUAAUACCGGAUGUGGCCUGAGGGCCAAAGGGGAAACUCGCUUCGAGAGGGGCCCGCGUCCGAUUAGCUAGUUGGCGGGGUAACGGCCCACCAAGGCGACGAUCGGUAGCUGGUCUGAGAGGAUGAUCAGCCACACUGGGACUGAGACACGGCCCAGACUCCUACGGGAGGCAGCAGUGGGGAAUAUUGGACAAUGGGGCAACCCUGAUCCAGCAAUGCCGCGUGAGUGAUGAAGGCCUUCGGUUGUAAGCUCUUCGCACGCGACGAUGAUGACGGUAGC